CCCUCACUCCUCCACUGGAUCCGCAACUUGAGGUAUUCCACGCAGUUGGAUCCUGACCCCUGUUGGCCACACAUUGUGCCUCUAAUUAGUGUGUACAUGCUGCUUAUUAACUGCAACACCUUAAAACUCAGCAACAGUAAACUCCUGCCUCUGACAUCCUGCCUCCCUCUCCCCUUGGCCAUCACCAUGGUGACCUUCUCUCCACUCCACCUCUACAGGGUCACCUACUUCCUGUUGGCAGCACUAGCCCCGCUGGCCUUGUGUUGUCUUCUCUGACGGUAUCUGGCAGCUUUCAGUCCACAUCUCCACCAUAACAAGCCUUUCUCUAAAGCGCAGCUUUACUCACUGAAGCUGGUCAAGACUGAUUUG